rnacentral:misc_RNA from 1 species
GAUAUAAAAUGACUGGGUCCGCUUAUCGUACCCAACCCUAUUUUUUGUUUAAGAUGUUCUUUUAUUAAAAAAUACAAUCAAAUAUUUAUGUUCAGCAUGUAAUUCUAUACAUGAGAAUAGGCAAAGUAAUUUUGAUUUUUCCACAAGUACCAACAAUUACAUAAACACCCCACCAUCUAAUACUGUAGCAAUGUAAUGUGUGAAUAUCUCGCUAUUAGCAAUGAAUUAAAACUGUUCUGAAGAAAAUAGAUUAAUUCAUUGUUCUAUGCAAUAAAUGUUCUUCAGAAUUACUCAAUGAAUUGAUUAAAGAAACAACUGUGUGAAGUGAAAGUGCCUGAUAUGAAGAAAAUGUGGUGGUGAUUUUCUGAAAGGCAUUUUUGGAUUGUAUCCCUCAACUGUAUGAGGUCUAAGAGUGGGCAGGUGGUGCUGAGAUCCUGUCGCCCUCCUACUCCUGUCCACAGUGCCAGAAGCGCUACAAGACCAAGGGAACGAUGAGAAGACAUAUCCGAUACGAGUGCGGGAAACAACCACAAUUCGCCUGUAUGGUCUGUCCGUUCCGUGCCUUCCAGAAGAGUAACCUGUUGAAACAUGAGAGGUGCAAACACAACAUCUCCUACCACGACCGGCACAUGCUUGCGACUGCUGGCAACUUUUAAGUUUCAAUCAGUGGAACAUCAGUGAAUGAGAAAAAUCAAAAUUUUGUUUCUCAAUGAAAUUUAAUAUUGUGUACAUCAUUAUUUUAAAUCUUUAUAAACUCGUAGUUAUUUAAGACUAUCAUAAAUGUUGAGUUUUUGUUUAUAUUUUGUACUUUUAGUUCAGUUUUGAUUUUCCGGUAUGAUAUUGUCUAAAUUUUUUUUUCUUUAUAAUAAAUUUGUAAAUAGAGUA